AGCGCGGUGGCUUAGUGGUUAGCGCGUUUGCCUCUUACCUCCAGGAUUGCCGGUUUGAUUCCCGCCUCUGCUC